CCGGCACGGGUGAGUAACACGUAUCCAACCUGCCGUCUACUCUUGGACAGCCUUCUGAAAGGAAGAUUAAUACAAGAUGGCAUCAUGAGUUCACAUGUUCACAUGAUUAAAGGUAUUCCGGUAGACGAUGGGGAUGCGUUCCAUUAGAUAGUAGGCGGGGUAACGGCCCACCUAGUCUUCGAUGGAUAGGGGUUCUGAGAGGAAGGUCCCCCACAUUGGAACUGAGGCACGGUCCAA
rnacentral:rRNA from 1 species